UCGUAACAAGGUUUCCGUAGGUGAACCUGCGGAAGGAUCAUUACUGAGUGCGGGCUGCCUUCGGGCGCCCAACCUCCCACCCGUGACUACCUAACACUGUUGCUUCGGCGGGGAGCCCUCUCGGGGGCGAGCCGCCGGGGACUACUGAACUUCAUGCCUGAGAGUGAUGCAGUCUGAGUCUGAAUAUAAAAUCAGUCAAAACUUUCAACAAUGGAUCUCUUGGUUCCGGCAUCGAUGAAGAACGCAGCGAACUGCGAUAAGUAAUGUGAAUUGCAGAAUUCAGUGAAUCAUCGAGUCUUUGAACGCACAUUGCGCCCCCUGGCAUUCCGGGGGGCAUGCCUGUCCGAGCGUCAUUGCUGCCCAUCAAGCCCGGCUUGUGUGUUGGGUCGUCGUCCCCCCCGGGGGACGGGCCCGAAAGGCAGCGGCGGCACCGUGUCCGGUCCUCGAGCGUAUGGGGCUUUGUCACCCGCUCGAUUUAGGGCCGGCCGGGCGCCAGCCGACGUCCAACCAUUUUUCUUCAGGUUGACCUCGGAUCAGGUAGGGAUACCCGCUGAACUUAAGCAUAUCAAUAA
rnacentral:misc_RNA from 1 species